rnacentral:sRNA from 1 species
GCCAGACAUAGUGGCGCAUGCCUGUAAUCCCAGUAACUUGGGAGGCUGAGGCAGGAAGAUUGCAAGUUUCAGGCCAGCCUCAGCAAUUUAGUGAGAUUCUCAGCAACUUGGUAAGGCCUUGUCUCAA